rnacentral:rRNA from 1 species
GACGAACGCUGGCGGCGUGCCUAAUACAUGCAAGUCGAGCGAAUGACGAGAAGCUUGCUUCUCUGAUUUAGCGGCGGAGGGGUGAGUAACACGUGGGCAACCUGCCCUACAGAUCGGGAUAACUCAGGGAAACCUGGGCUAAUACCGGAUAAUCAUUCGAAUCAGAGGUUUUGAAGUUGAAAGGCGCUUCGGCGGCACUGUAGGAUGGGCACGCGGUGCAUUAGCUAGUUGGUGGGGUAACGGCCUACCAAGGCAACGAUGCAUAGCCGACCUGAGAGGGUGAGCGGCCACAUUGGGACUGAGACACGGCCCAAACUCCUACGGGAGGCAGCAGUAGGGAAUCUUCCACAAUGGACGAAAGUCUGAUGGAGCAACGCCGCGUGAGUGAUGAAGGUUUUCGGAUCGUAAAACUCUGUUGUAAGGGAAGAACAAGUACGUUAGGAAAUGAACGUACCUUGACGGUACCUUAUUAGAAAGCCACGGCUAACUACGUGCCAGCAGCCGCCGUAA